AUCGCUCCACCCAAGCGUGAGAGAAUUGCAAUAGCGGUGAAGGAACCGAGUUUACAUGGCUUGCGCAUCAAGGUGUAUGAGCAUUGUGCCACUUACUGAGACCCAGUGUGCGAUUUUGUUUUCUAAUGGGUUGAGUUUGGGUUGCUCAGUUGCAGUAGCUGAUGGAUUCGCCUCCAUAGGAUAAAAUUCGCUUCGGAGUUUGGUCCGUUCAAGCAUCGGCAGCUGGAGCAGCUUGAAAUUAAUUGUCAUCAUGGGAGACAAUGAGAAGACCCCGCUGCUCAAGCCUGAGAAUCGUGGAAUACAAAAUGGCAAAGACGUUCGUUUUAAUACUAAGUUACCUGGAGGAACAGAUCUUGAGGUCGGUGAUGCUGUCCAGGCCCAAAAUGUGGGAUUUGGUCGGAUAUUGAAGCUGGCAAGACCAGAAGCUUUUAUUUUAUGUUUGGCAACCGUGGCCUUGUUCGUGUCAUCCCUCUCCAACGUCUUACUGCCCACAUUUGCAGGCAGAGUUAUUGACAUAGUGACAGCACAUUCUGACACUGAUGAAGGACGUGAAGCAGCUCUGAAGGCUGUCAAUCAUGCUAUACUCCUAAUCGUUGUAGUAGUUCUUGUCGGGUCAACUGCAACAAUGGUUCGAGCUUACCUUUUCUCAGCAGCCAGUGAACGUGUCGUGGCUAGACUGAAAAAAGACUUAUUUAGUCAUCUCAUUGCCCAGGAAAUAGCCUUUUUUGAUGUGACUAGAACUGGGGAGUUGCUGAACCGACUGUCAGAGGACACACAGGUGAUCAAGAAUGCUGCUACAACCAAUUUGUCAGAAACAUUACGGAGUUUGGCGACUUCUAUAAUUGGCGUUGGGUUCAUGUUGCAAACCUCAUGGCACCUUACCGCGCUGGCACUUAUAAUUGUUCCAGCUAUAUCUUUGGGCAUUCGAUCCUUUGGAAAAUAUUUGCGUGAGCUUUCACACAAGACACAGGCUGCAGCUGCUGUAGCUGCUUCCAUCGCCGAGGAAUCUUUUGGUGCAGUAAGAACUGUGCGUUCAUUUGCGAAUGAGGAAUACGAGCGGUCACGAUAUGCUGAAAAAGUGAAUGUCACACUUCAGCUUGGUCUCAGACAAUCUAUGGUAGUGGGUUUAUUUUCUGGAGGUGUCUCAGCUGCCGCCACGCUAUCUAUUGUGGCUGUCGUAGUCUAUGGUGCUCGAUUGACAAUUCUUGGGCAAAUGACAACUGGAACUCUCACUGCUUUUAUUCUUUACAGCUUAACUGUUGGACUCUCGCUUGCUUCUCUGUCUGGACUUUACUCAACCGCCAUGAAAGCAGCUGGAGCAAGUCGUCGAGUCUUUCAGUUGCUGGAUCGAGUUUCAAGCAUGUCCAAGGCUGGUGAUGCCAAGCCCCUCGGGAAGGAUGAAGAAGGAGAAGUCAAGUUGGAAAAUGUGUGGUUCUCGUAUCCUUCACGUCCUAAAGACUUGGUUUUGAAGGGAGUGAAUCUUACAUUAAAACCUGGAGCAAAGGUCGCUCUUGUCGGUCCUUCUGGUGGUGGUAAGACCACGAUUGCAAAUCUGGUGGAGAGGUUUUAUGAUCCUGACCAAGGAGUUAUUACCCUCAAUAGGAUUAAUCUCAAAGAAAUAGACCAUCGUCACCUACAUGAGAAGAUAAGCAUUGUGAGCCAGGAACCUACCUUGUUCAAUUGCUCAAUUGCUGAGAACAUUUCAUAUGGAUUGAAGGAUAACGUGAAGCAUGAGGAUAUUGAACGGGUCUCUGUAAGGCACCCCUACCAUUUCUAAGGAUCCAAUGAAUACUUUACUUAUCCAGGGCUCGUGAAAACUUAUGGAGGAUGGCGAAUGCUCAUGAGUUCGUAUCGAAAUUUCCUGAGGGCUAUGAAACACAAGUAGGCGAGCGUGGAGUGAGAUUAUCUGGAGGUCAAAAGCAACGCAUAGCAAUUGCAAGAGCCCUUCUUAUGGAUUCUAGAGUUCUUUUAUUGGACGAGGCAACAAGUGCUUUGGACGCUGAGAGCGAGUUCUUGGUUCAGGAUGCUAUGGACCGUUUGAUGAAAGGUCGCACUGUGCUGGUCAUAGCACAUCGGCUCUCGACGGUGCAGAGUGCAGACACUGUCGCAGUUAUAGCAGACGGGAAAGUAGCAGAACAAGGUUCUCAUUUUGAGCUCUUGAAAAGCAAUGGCCUGUACGCCGCUUUGGUGCGGCGCCAAUUGCAAGGACCUGGGACCUCCUCUGCUACCGAUCUCAAUGAACUUGCAUAGAAACGUUGUUUUCUCAUUCCUUCCUAGAUGACAUAGAGAUAUUUUUUUCUUAUACAUUAUGUAAUAAUUUGAAACAUUGGAUGGCCUAGACAUCAAUAUUGUUAUUAUUGUUGUUAUUGUUAUUUUGCCGCAAUGGCUGACAACCUUAUUUUUCAAAUUCGUGUAAAGUUAGAUGGAGUAAGGUAUUGUAUUAGUAUGCAGCAACUUACUGAUUUCGUCAUUUACCUCCAAUUGAGCUUUCAAAUGUAUUCAAUCAACUUGAAUCCAUUUUGCUUCAUCUUC